UACGUAGGGGGCAAGCGUUGUCCGGAUUUAUUGGGCGUAAAGAGCGUGUAGGCGGCCUGACAGGUCUGCUGUGAAAACUCGAGGCUCAACCUCGAGAUGUCGGCGGAAACCGUCUGGCUAGAGUCCGGAAGAGGAGAGUGGAAUUCCUGGUGUAGCGGUGAAAUGCGCAGAUAUCAGGAAGAACACCAGUGGCGAAGGCGACUCUUUGGCCUGUAACUGACGCUGAGGCGCGAAAGCGUGGGGAGCAAACAGG
rnacentral:rRNA from 1 species